ACGAACGCUGGCGGCGUGCUUAACACAUGCAAGUCGAACGGAAAGGCCCUGCUUUUGUGGGGUGCUCGAGUGGCGAACGGGUGAGUAACACGUGAGUAACCUGCCCUUGACUUUGGGAUAACUUCAGGAAACUGGGGCUAAUACCGGAUAGGAGCUCCUGCUGCAUGGUGGGGGUUGGAAAGUUUCGGCGGUUGGGGAUGGACUCGCGGCUUAUCAGCUUGUUGGUGGGGUAGUGGCUUACCAAGGCUUUGGCGGGUAGCCGGCCUGAGAGGGUGACCGGCCACAUUGGGACUGAGAUACGGCCCAGACUCCUACGGGAGGCAGCAGUGGGGAAUUUUGCACAAUGGGCGGAAGCCUGAUGCAGCAACGCCGCGUGCGGGAUGACGGCCUUCGGGUUGUAAACCGCUUUCGCCUGUGACGAAGCGUGAGUGACGGUAAUGGGUAAAGAAGCACCGGCUAACUACGUG
rnacentral:rRNA from 1 species